AUUAUUAUUAUCAUUAUUAUUUGAAUCAGUUAAUUGCCAUCAAGUCAACUUGGACUCAUGAAUGAGAGACUUCCAAGUCUCCUAAUCAUCCAUAGCCCUAUUUGCAAAUUCAAGGCUGUGGCUCCCUUGAUUGAGUCUAUCCAUCUGGAAUGCAGUCUUACUCUUUUCCUAUUGCAUCUUACCUUGCAAAGCAUUGUUGUAUUUUCUAGUGAGUCAUGUCUUCCCAUCAGGUGUCAAAAUUAUGGCAGUCUCAGUUUAGUCAUCUUGGCUUUUAGAGAGACUCCAACUAGACUUGUUCUAGGACCCAUUCAUUUCUCUUUUUAGCAAUCCACAGUAUUUCAGGAUUUGUCUCUAGCACAUUUCAAAUGAAUCAAUUUUCUUCCUGACAGCUUUAUUUACUAUCCAGCUUUAACAAUUACAAAGAAAUGGGAAAUGUGAUGGCAUAGAUAAUCCUAACUUUAGUAUUAUUUGCACUUCAGGAUCUUGUCUAGUUCCUUCAUAGCUGCCCUUCAAACCCUAGUCUUCUGAUUUCUUGCCUGCAGCCUCCAUUCUGAUUAAUGACUGAGACAAGAUGGGGGAUUUUUAGCAGCACUGGAAUGAUGGUGAAGAAGACGUGGAGAAACACUUUUGGGGCUAGAUUGCAGCGAUACGUCUACAGCAGGGAUUCCCAAACUAAGGCCCACAAGCCAAAUGCAACCCUCCAAGAUCAUUUUACCCAGUCUCUGCUUUAAACCUUUGAGUUAGGGUCAUCCUAAGUCUGAAACAACUUGAAGGAAUAUCACAAGAAUCCUAAUUAACUUGACUAUCUCAUCAGCCAAAAGCAGGCCAACAAUUCCCAUUGAAAUACUGGCAGCAAAAAGGGAACCUGUUAAGAAGAAAAGUGAACCUCAGAAAAAAUGCAAGCUUCGUUCUGACAAGACUGAAAAAUUAGAAUAAGAAGACAAUUUGCAUUUUUUAAAACAGUGACUAGAGAUCUGAAAAGUGUCAAGGUAUCUAUUGCCAUUCUUUUAAAUAUGCCAACAGCAAAACGGUUGCUGUAGAGGGCAGUAUUUCAGUACCAGAAGAUAGUGCCCUAAGCAUUGCAAAAAAGAAAGAAAGAAAGACCAAACAGAAGAGAAUAAAUAUAUCAGGAAACCAAUCCUGACCCUGUAACAAGCAUGUUCUAUAGGCAAAAUUACUUCAUGGCCACAUGUGGUUCUACUGGGCCAGCUUCUGAUCCGGGGAGGGGAUGGAGGUAGGCAAAUCCUUUUUUAGGGGCUGAGGGGGGAUUUAUUUCCACUGUUUUUUCUGCCACGGGAGGUCUUUUUGAUGAACACGAAGCAAACAUAAGUUAAGUUCUGGGUAACCUCUUAUAAAAAUGGCCUCUACUGAACUUAAAAUGGCAUGGGCAGAAAAAAAACAUUUGGGGGGGGGAGAUGGCAUUUGGGGGAGCAAAUAGUUUGCAUUUUUGUGUAGUGUGUUUAUGAUCCUCCACCAUCUCCUGGGAGGCCCACAAAUAGCCUCAUGUUAUCUGACAGUGGUCUAUUUUACUAUCUGCCAACAACACCUUGACCAACUUCAUGUGUUCAAAAUACUAUUUGAAACUGGAACAUCGUUCUUCUAUUAUUUCACUGGCUAACUGAGAUGCAAGAAAAGAGAGAUUAGUGAAGUGCCACUUGCAUUUAUAAAUAUUCAAAGAUUUUUUUUCUUUUGUUUCAUCUUUUGUGGCCAAGGACCUCAUCACAUUGAUCAGGAGCAGUGGGAGAUUUGCCAGCAUCUGUGGCAAAUCUGUGGGGAAGUGGGGCAAUCCUGAUGACCUGUGCCCUGCCUCGCCCACAGUGAUGUUACCCUAUUACUCAUGGGGAAGUGUCGACACAUGACUUCCCCUCACACUGGCCCCAUUGUUCUCUAUGGACCACAGGAAGCCCCCUAUGUUCUGGGCAAAGUGUUGAUUAACAGAGCCCUGCCAGAAAUUAGUGUGUAUCGUGUGAUGGGCAGCAUGGGGCUCUGUCAAUCAGCUGUGCUGCAAGCAUCCUACGCUGCUGGCAGAAGUUAUGUUCCAUGAAUGUUUUAAAUGCUGCUACAUGUUCUUCAGAUCAGAUUUCCAGUCUACUGCAUAAUUGUUGAUAUUUUAAUUAUUUCUUAUUUCCUGUAUUUCCUGUUUGUGGAAAUUCUAAUGCAUCCAAAUGCUAAAUUCCAAGACAUAAAAAUAGAGGGUUUCUUUCU